rnacentral:rRNA from 1 species
CCUACGGGAGGCUGCAGUGAGGAAUAUUGGUCAAUGGACGAGAGUCUGAACCAGCCAAGUAGCGUGAAGGAUGACUGCCCUAUGGGUUGUAAACUUCUUUUAUAUGGGAAUAAAACGUUCCACGUGUGGGAUUUUGUAUGUACCAUAUGAAUAAGGAUCGGCUAACUCCGUGCCAGCAGCCGAGGUAAUACGGAGGAUCCGAGCGUUAUCCGGAUUUAUUGGGUUUAAAGGGAGCGUAGGUGGAUUGUUAAGUCAGUUGUGAAAGUUUGCGGCUCAACCGUAAAAUUGCAGUUGAAACUGGCAGUCUUGAGUACAGUAGAGGUGGGCGGAAUUCGUGGCGUAGCGGUGAAAUGCUUAGAUAUCACGAAGAACUCUGAUGGCGAAGGCAGUUCACUGGACUGCAACUGACACUGAGGCUCGAAAGUGUGGGUAUCAAACAGGAUUAGAUACCCGGGUAGUC